CAAGUCUUGACAUCCCUCUGAAUCCUCUAGAGAUAGAGGCGGCCUUCGGGACAGAGGUGACAGGUGGUGCAUGGUUGUCGUCAGCUCGUGUCGUGAGAUGUUGGGUUAAGUCCCGCAACGAGCGCAACCCUUGAUUUUAGUUGCCAGCAGGUAAGGCUGGGCACUCUAGAAUGACUGCCGGUGACAAACCGGAGGAAGGCGGGGAUGACGUCAAAUCAUCAUGCCCCUUAUGACUUGGGCUACACACGUACUACAAUGGCUGGUACAACGGGAAGCGAAGCCGCGAGGUGGAGCCAAUCCUAUAAAAGCCAGUCUCAGUUCGGAUUGCAGGCUGCAACUCGCCUGCAUGAAGUCGGAAUUGCUAGUAAUCGCGGAUCAGCAUGCCGCGGUGAAUACGUUCCC
rnacentral:rRNA from 1 species